rnacentral:rRNA from 1 species
GUGGGGAAUCUUAGACAAUGGGGGCAACCCUGAUCUAGCCAUGCCGCGUGAUCGAUGAAGGCCUUAGGGUUGUAAAGAUCUUUCAGCUGGGAAGAUAAUGACGGUACCAGCAGAAGAAGCCCCGGCUAACUCCGUGCCAGCAGCCGCGGUAAUACGGAGGGGGCUAGCGUUGUUCGGAAUUACUGGGCGUAAAGCGCACGUAGGCGGAUUGAAAAGUUGGGGGUGAAAUCCCGGGGCUCAACCUCGGAACUGCCUCCAAAACUAUCAGUCUUGAGUUCGAGAGAGGUGAGUGGAAUUCCGAGUGUAGAGGUGAAAUUCGUAGAUAUUCGGAGGAACACCAGUGGCGAAGGCGGCUCACUGGCUCGAUACUGACGCUGAGGUGCGAAAGCGUGGGGAGCAAACAGGAUUAGAAACCCUAGUAGUCC